GCCUGGGUGGCUCAGUCGGUUGAGCAUCCGACUUCGGCUCAGGUCAUGAUCUCGCGGUUCUGUGAGUUCGAGCCCCGCAUCAGGCU
rnacentral:tRNA from 1 species